CUGAGAAAGUUAUAAGACCUGCUAACUCUUUAAUCUGGUAUUAACAACCAGCUUCCUC
rnacentral:tRNA from 1 species